rnacentral:lncRNA from 1 species
UAGGAAGUUGUUCAUUUUCCAUUCUCAAUUGAAAUAGAAUGUCUGCAGGAGAGGGCUUCCAGUAUUUAGGGCUACAUUGAUGCUUUCAGACUUAAUUGGAAAUAAAAUGCUCUAUUGGUUUAUUUCCUUUUUUCUUUUUUUGCAUUUUAGUUACCAUUAGAGAAUUGUCUGGAAUGAUCAUUAUUUCUGGAAGUUCUAACACAGGUAGCUUAAGAAGAAAUGCCUCUUAUUUAAUGUCAGAUAUCAUGAUUUUUUAAAGGGCUUCUUUGAUAAAGUAAUACCCCAAUAUCUUCUUCCAGUAUUCUAAAUUCCCAGCUUUUUUCAUUCUCCUCUUUCUUCCAUCAGAGGCCACCACUUCCACAGAAGGGACUGGCACUUCUGGAACUGGAUUCAAAACUGCAGGCAUCACUGCAGCAACAGGGAAGCAAGCAGGCACCUCAGAGGUAGCUCCUGCCACAACAGUUGCCCCUGGAAGUUUCAGCACAGGUGAGUCCACUGUGUGGUGGGGAAUUGUUUCGUGGGUGCUGGCUACAGUAACAAGCCUUUCCUUUUGGUGCUUCUAUGCAGGAAUGCCACUAUUCCAUUUCAUGUCCCCUGAACCUUUUCCAUUUGUGUCCUUCUCCCAGCAGCCACAGCUUCUCCUGGAGCAAGUGGAAUAACUGGGGUUACAACAACUACAAAGACCACAGCUUCCCUGGGAGGAAGUGGCACCACUGCAGCAGAAAUAAAAUCAGGUAAAGACUUUAGAGUAUUUAUAUUUAUUGUUUUAUUUUGACAGAUUUCUUAGAGGAAAUUAUUUCUAAUGAGCUUUUAAUUUGGAAAUAAAUUUAAAUUACAG